UACGGGGGGGGCAAGCGUUGUUCGGAUUUAUUGGGCGUAAAGAGCGUGUAGGCGGCCAUACAGGUCAGCUGUGAAAACUCGAGGCUCAACCUCGAGACGUCGGUUGAAACCGUAUGGCUAGAGUCCGGAAGAGGAGAGUGGAAUUCCCGGUGUAGCGGUGAAAUGCGCAGAUAUCGGGAAGAACACCCGUGGCGAAGGCGGCUCUCUGGGACGGUACUGACGCUGAGACGCGAAAGCGUGGGGAGCGAACAGG
rnacentral:rRNA from 1 species